rnacentral:lncRNA from 1 species
UAUUUUUCCCUCUAGCUAAUUCGGUAUGCUUAUCUAUUACUAUAUAUAUAAAAGUAGAACCUUUAAUGAACCCUAUGUGAAAAGCUGACACGUGACUUUCUAUAUGCUUGCCACGUGUCAAACUCAAAUAUGGAUAUUUGGUUACGAAUUAUUUGAAAUUAUUGAUUUAAUUAAUUAUUUAAAAUUAUUCGCAAUAAUCUGUUGCGAAUUAUUUGAAAUGGUUAGUUGCGAAAAAAAUGGUCAAACUCAAAUUUCGUAUUACCAAAUAAUUAAUUAUUUAAAAUUAUUGGUUACGAAAUAAGCAAUAAUCUGUUACAAGUUAUUUGAAAUGGUUAGUUGCGAAAAAAGGGUCAAAUUCAAAUUUUGUAUUGGUAAAUAAUUAAUUAUUUAAUCCUAUGUGAGAAGUAGACACGUGGCCACGUGUCAAACUCAAAUAUGGAUAUUUGGUUACGAAUUAUUUGAAAUUAUUGAUUUAAUUAAUUAUUUAAAAUUAUUGGUUGCGAAAUACGCAAUAAUCUGUUGCGAAUUAUUUUAGAUUUUUUUAAGAAAAUAAUAUCUUUUACUAUAUUAUUAAAAAUUACCUGUAAUGAAGGAAAUUUUAUUUCAAAGUCACCUAUAAUUAUAUUGAGAUAUUUAAGAAAUUCACGGAUAUUACGUUGCGAAAGAAUUGGCGGGUACAGAUAUUACGCAUAAGAAGGAAAAUAUUUAUCUUUAUUCGGAAAUAAAUUACUACUUAGUUAAUUAUUUGAAAUUAUUAGUUGAAAAUUACUGGACAUGAAAAUUUUAGUAAAAAACGAUAGAGAUAAUUUUCUAACGUGGCUUUCUAUAUGUUUUCCACGUGUCAUCGUCUCUAUUCUAUUUACUAUAAUAAUAGGUGGAUUAAUGAAAUAUUUGAGAAAUUCAUGGAUAUUACGUUGUGAAUGAAAUAUUUGAGAAAUUCAUGGAUAUUACGUUGUGAAAGAAUUGACUGGUGCGGAUAUGAGAAGGAAAAUAUUUGAGAAACGCGUAGAUAGAAAAUAUGAUAUAAAUGCGAGGGUAAUAUUGUCACAAAAAUUAACAGAUAUUUUUAUUUUCAAUCAUUAGAUAAGAUCUAAUGGUAAAAAAUUAAUAUCUUUUGCUAUAUUAUUAAAAAUUACUUAUAAUGAAGGAGAUUUUAUUUCAAAGUCAUCUAUAAUUAUGUUGAGAUAUUUUCAAAAUUCACGGAUAUUAUGUGGCACAAUAAUUAGCCGGUGUAGAUAUUAUGCAUGGGAAGAAAAAUAUUUAUCUUUAUUUGGGAAUAAAUUACUACUUAGUUAAUUAUUUAAAAUGAUUGGUCGAAAAUUUCUGGACAUAAAAAUAUUAGUAAAAAAUGAUUGAGACAUUUUUGGAAAGAGAAAAAAUUAAAAACUCACGAUUUUAUAAAAAAUUAAUAUCUUUUACUAUAUUAUUAAAAAUCACAUAUAAUGAAGGAAAUUUUAUUUCAAAGUCAUUGAGAUAUUUGAGAAAUUUAUGGAUAUUAUAUUGCGAAAGAAUUGGCGGUGCGGAUAUUACGCGUGAGAAGAAAAAUN